GAUGAACGCUGGCGGCGUGCUUAACACAUGCAAGUCGAACGGAAAGGCCACAGCUUGCUGUGGUACUCGAGUGGCGAACGGGUGAGUAACAAGUGGGUGAUCUGCCCUGUACUUCGGGAUAAGCUUGGGAAACUGGGUCUAAUACCGGAUAGGAAUCACAUGUGGGUGUGUGGUUGGAAAGCUUUUGCGGUAUGGGAUGAGCUCUCGGCCUAUCAGCUUGUUGGUGGGGUAAUGGCCUACGAAGGCGUCGCCGGGUAGCCGGCCUGAGAGGGUGUACGGCGACAUUGGGCCUGAGAUACGGCCCAGACUCCUACGGGAGGCAGCAGUGGGGAAUAUUGCACAAUGGGCGCAAGCCUGAUGCAGCGACGCCGCGUGGGGGAUGACGGCCUUCGGGUUGUAAACUCCUUUCGUCAGGGACGAAGCGAAAGUGACGGUACCUGGAUAAGAAGCACCGGCUAACUACGUG
rnacentral:rRNA from 1 species